ensembl:lncRNA
GUUAAAGACAAUCUUAGAGGUAUCAAGAACACCAUGGCUCUGUCAGUGUGAAUAUUUAUAAUUACAUGCAUGAAGCUGAAAGAAUAUUAACUCUAGAUGAAUUACCAAAAUAUUUCAGUGCUCAUUCUGAAACUCAUACCUCAUUCCUUAUGCAUUAGUUUCGAACUUUAUGUCCAAAUGACAUUGAUUUAGCCCCUUGAGGUAGAAUUAUUUUGAGCAAUUUAACCAACCUAUUUAGGGGGUGUUUCUUUAUCUGUAAAAUGGGAACACUGAAUUGGGAACGAGAUGAUUUAAAGAUUUCUUUCAAUUACAGAAUCCUGAGGUCACUGAUACUGUUGUCUGUUGUUGGUGGUCUGUUGUGUACCUGAACUCAUUUCACUAGUUUGUAUGAAGAAUGUGAGAUAUUAACGUACUUGUAAGUUCGCCAUAGUUUCAUGGAUGCUAACAUAAAAGGGAUCAAACUCAGGACCUUGUGCUUGCAAAGCAGGCAGUGGAACCACUGAGCUACAUCACCGGCCCCUAAAAUUGCAUUUUUAAUGCCGUUUAGGUAUCUGCCUUUCACAGAGGCAGACUAAUAAAGAUCACUGAUUCUUGGGAGGAUCCAGAGAUGAUGGCGAUUACUUUGGCCAUCAUAUAUAAUAAGCUUAUUGAAAAUCAGGAAAGCACAUAUACAACAGAGCCAGAGAGAAGGAGUGAACCAAUAAUUUAUAAUUCCUACAAUCAAGUGGAAUCCAUAACCAUCUCUGUAGAUUUCUGUAGUCCAUAAAUCAAGAAAUCCCUUCUCUCUUCUCCAUGAGAACAGGAGUUCAGUUAAUCCAGUUGCCUCUGAAUCUGCAGGACCAAUAUAGUAUUAGUCACAGUAGGCAUUCAAUAUUUAUUUGUUGAAUGAAAUUUUUAAACCGUUUCUCCUUGUAACCUCUGACUAUUUGAAUGCUGGAGUAUUAUGGAAAUACAAAGUAUUUUAAUCCAGAAGAUCACAAGUAGAACUUUGUUCUGUCCCCUUUGGAAUUAAGGGAAAGGAUCAAAGUAAUCCACUCUCAAGAGAGAACAGAGCUUCUGAGAUCUACUUUAAAAUUAGAAAAAUUUAUUCCCCCUCAAGCUACAUGCCAAUAACAUACAACACUACUUUGUUUUGCUUUAUUGUUUAGAGCUAAAUCCUUUUGUUCCAUCAAAUUAAUAUUUCCACCUGGACAGGCUCUGUUGUAGCAAACAAGAAUGUCACAAAAAAUAUUUUUACCUCUCCCCAUAAUCCUACAUUUGAGUUUAGAAUUCUUUGUUCCUCAACAAAACUGGCUAGAACUUAGGUAACCCGAAAAACAAGCUCAUAAGCAAGCAUGGUCACAAGAGUUGCUGUAAAAUUCAGGGCUGUUGUAGGAAUUCUGGGUAUGCAAUGUAACUGGAUUUAGGAAGAGAUUAGAAGUUACUGGAAAGCAGCAAGAGGUUCUCAAGUCAUUCAUAGGCAUCCCUCACAGUCAUUGUGCGGGCCUAAUCAUAUGGAAGCUGAAUUUUUGGCUUUCAGUCCAACAUACCAAAACUCAGGAGAGAUAAUAUGAGCCAGCUUGGGGAUAUAAGUAUCCACUCCAGGUAUUACUAACAUGACUAUCUAACACCAAAAUUUAAGAAAGAAGAAUUAAAGGUAAGAGAAAUUCGAUGAAUGAAUGAAUGAAUGAAUGAAUGGAUGGAUAGAUGGAUGGAUGGAUGGAUGGAUGGAGUUGGCGAGUAAUUACCGGACAGACACUACAAAAGGUGAAUUUUCCACUUUCAACAUAAAUAAAUAUGUUUUGAUUUUAUAGUCCAGAGGUAAUAUGUCUAGGUUUUCAAAGGGGGCCUUUUGUCAUGGAGUGCAUUUAGUUCUAGUACCGGAAGUUUGUAUUUUAUGAUAUGAAAUUCAUGGCUCAUCUACUUUCAAAAAUCAUCAAUUUUAAAAAAUGAAAAGGAACC